GACGAACGCUGGCGGCGUGCUUAACACAUGCAAGUCGAACGGAAAGGCCCCUUUUGGGGUACUCGAGUGGCGAACGGGGGAGUAACACGUGAGUAACCUGCCCUUGACUUCCGGAUAACUUCAGGAAACUGGGGCUAAUACCUGGUAGGAAUCCUUGCUGCAUUGUGGGUGUGGGAAAGCUUCGGCGGUUUUGGAUGGACUCGCGGCUUAUCAGCUUGUUGGUGGGGUAGUGGCUUACCAAGGCUUUGACGGGUAGCCGGCGUGGGAGGGCGACCGGCAACAUUGGGACUGAGACACGGCCAAGACUCCUACGGGAGGCAGCAGUGGGGAAUAUUGCACAAUGGGCGGAAGCCUGAUGCAGCAACGCCGCGUGCGGGAUGACGGCCUUCGGGUUGGAAACCGAUUUCAGCAGGGGCGAAGCUUGUGGUGACGGUACCUGCAGAAGAAGCACCGGCUAACUACGUG
rnacentral:rRNA from 1 species